UUGAGUGAUGUAUUUUGUAGCUUUGCUGGUAAUGAUAAACUUCUCAUAAGUGUGGGCAUAGAGUGUAGGCUAGGUGGCUUCAGAAGUGUUGGUAUUAAUUAAGAACAAAACUAAUGAUGCUUUAAAUGUUUAUUGAGAUUUAUAGGACAUUUUUCAUGAUUUUCUGCUGAAACUUAAAUCUGCUUUUUGAAACAGGUUUCUAGAGUUAAAGAAUGUUUGUUGUAAAUAAGUAUAUUGGAAAUCUUAUUAUUCAGCAUCUUUUGGAAGUAGUUCUUUGCCCAGCUGAGAGAGAACUAGAUGGUUGUAUAAACGCUGUGGGAGCAGAAGGUGGUCUAGGAAAUUCUAUGGCCAGUGCAAUACUAGAAGCUGCUUAUGCUGAUGAUGUAGCAGUAGCUACUUCAAAUCAUCAUUUAAAAUGCUUUUGGAAACACAGAAUCUUCUGAAUAUAUUAAUAUUUAACCUUAGAAAUGUAUCUUAAUUAUUUUGUUUGGAGUAGUCCUUCCAAAAUGUCUGAAUAAGAGCAAAUCUAGAAGUCGGGGAGUUGUAACACAAAAGGAAGCAUUCAAAUAUAGUUAUAUUAAAAGAAAAGAAAUCUCUGAAGAAAUUAGGAACUUAAAAUUAGCAGAACAAAAAUUAAAAGUAAAUCUUAAUGCUUCAUGUAUCAAUACAUAUACUGAAUAUAUCAGCAUGUUAACUAAACACAUAAGCUAUCUGCUUGCUUAUUGUCCUUGUACGGCAAAUGUGGUUGGAGUGAAUAAUGAUACUAUGUUAAAGUACAGAAUACUGAAAUGAGACAAAAUAGCUUGGGUGAAAUCUUGGUUCUAGCCUUAAAAGCAAGAUUUUCCUGAUUAGUCCCAUUAGUCCCAUUCCUCAGUAUGAGCAGUUUGAGAACAAAUUUGCCACAUAUCUUGAAGUGAAUCUGCAGAGCAAUUAGUUUUGCCAAAUAUGCUUUAAACCAAAAUGCUACCAAACGAUUUAAAAAGUGAAAGUUUAACAAGUCUUCAUAUACAAUCAGUUUUGAUGGUAUUGCUAUCUCCACUUACCUCUUCUUAGUUAAUUACUCUAUACUCUUUUUAUUGUAGAAGGCAUUGUGAUUGAGAUUUGGCUUCUCCUUCUACCCAUGUAUGCAAUAUUUUAGAACAACAGGGAACAUACCUUUAAAUAUAUAAGUCAUUAAGUCAAGGUCUUUGCCUAAUUUUCUAAGACUGUUUACUGCACAUAAAAUUAAAUAUGUGUAUACAUAUUUGCAGUAUUGACUCCUACAUCAUUAUUAUUUGAACAACUUUUUAAUACACAUUGCCUCUUGUUUAGAAUAAACUCAAACCACAGCUAACUUCAGAUCUUUCAACAUGAUAAUGUAUUAUUUAGUCAAAUAUUUAUGUAAGAAAAAAUCUUACUAGAAAUUUCAUUAUUUUCUGUUUUCAUUUUAUAUAUACCCUGUGUUUAUACUGAGUAUACCCUGCAGAAGAUUUUACUAUGGAUUGUUCUUUCUGUUAUCUUCCCUGUUCUAGAUCUACCACUAGUACUAAAAAAUACAGUGAAAUAACUAUUGGAAGAUUUUUUAAAGGAGUUUUACAGUACUGGUCUUCUUAACUUCCAGAUUUCCUCUGGUAGCAGGAAUAGAAUUUGGACUCCAUCCAGAUGCAGAACCAGGGCACAGAACUUUAGGAGACUCAGUAAAAAAUCAAGGACUGUAUCUGAAGGAAAGCAAGGUCUACCAACUUGCCAUUACCAAAUAUUUGUCUAAUAAAUUCCACAGAUUCAUUCUGUUGUCCGAACCUGUGAGAUUAAGCACUUCUGUUCAUCUAUUCCAACUUGGAGAUUAAGUCUACAUUCACAAGUGGGAUGCUGACCCCCUGUAUGCUGACUGCAAAAAGAUUAUGAUUACCUACAACCAAAGCAUAGCAUGCAGGUGACCCUAGCUGACCCAACGAAGCAAGAACAGCUGGAACCUAUUCCGAUCCCUUCACUAAAGAUGGAUAUGAUUACAAAGAUAUUAUUGUCUACACUUUUACUAUUACUCAUUUGUUGUGAAUGUUUUAUGUUGUCUUCCUUGUUUUCAUCAAUAUGCUGCUUAAGUUGUUCAACAGUGGCAUGGUCCAACCACAGAUCAUGCAAUAGAAUGUAUUUGUGGUUAAUUAGAUAAUGCUACUUUAGUCUGUGUUUAGCCUAAAGCAAGCGCUGAUAGACAAAAACUUUGUCCCUGAAACAAACAUCUUGUAUAAUUUGAGAUUAAUUAGUAUUUUACUAUUAGUUGACAGCCCUCCAAAAGCAUUUGAAAGAGA